rnacentral:rRNA from 1 species
UUGAGAGUUUGAUCCUGGCUCAGAACGAACGCUGGCGGCAGGCCUAACACAUGCAAGUCGAGCGAGACCUUCGGGUCUAGCGGCGGACGGGUUAGUAACGCGUGGGAACGUACCCUUUUCUGCAGGAUAGCCACUGGAAACGGUGAGUAAUACUGCAUACGCCCUUCGGGGGAAAGAUUUAUCGGAGAAGGAUCGGCCCGCGUUAGAUUAGAUAGUUGGUGGGGUAAUGGCCUACCAAGUCUACGAUCUAUAGCUGGUUUGAGAGGAUGAUCAGCAACACUGGGACUGAGACACGGCCC